rnacentral:rRNA from 1 species
UGACGGGGGCCCGCACAAGCGGUGGAGCAUGUGGUUUAAUUCGAUGCAACGCGAAGAACUUACCUACUCUUGACAUCCAGAGAACUUUCCAGAGAUGGAUUGGUGCCUUCGGGAACUCUGAGACAGGUGCUGCAUGGCUGUCGUCAGCUCGUGUUGUGAAAUGUUGGGUUAAGUCCCGCAACGAGCGCAACCCUUAUCCUUGUUUGCCAGCACAUAAUGGUGGGAACUCCAGGGAGACUGCCGGUGAUAAACCGGAGGAAGGUGGGGACGACGUCAAGUCAUCAUGGCCCUUACGAGUAGGGCUACACACGUGCUACAAUGGCGUAUACAGAGGGCUGCCAACUAGCGAUAGUGAGCGAAUCCCAGAAAGUACGUCGUAGUCCGGAUUGGAGUCUGCAACUCGACUCCAUGAAGUCGGAAUCGCUAGUAAUCGUGAAUCAGAAUGUCACGGUGAAUACGUUCCCGGGCCUUGUACACACCGCCCGUCACACCAUGGGAGUGGGCUGCACCAGAAGUAGAUAGCUUAACCUUCGGGAGGGCGUUUACCACGGUGUGGUUCAUGACUGGGGUGAAGUCGUAACAAGGUAGCCCUAGGGGAACCUGGGGCUGGAUCACCUCCUUACCUAA